rnacentral:lncRNA from 1 species
AAAGAUGUAGCGAACACAAUAAUUUAAAUAAAAAGAAAAAAGAAUUUAGUAGCUUGCAGUGCAAGUUUUCUAUAACUGGUCGCAGAGAAUAAAGUCCCCACCUCAUCAGGUAUUUCUCGUAAGCCUGACGACACGUAAACGCAAUGUGAACUCAGAAAAAUAAAAUAAAAAUUAAAGAAAAGAGAGGGAAUUGAAAUGAAAGGAAAUUUAGUUUCCGCGUAGACAGAUA